rnacentral:rRNA from 1 species
CAAGUCGAACGCGAAAGUCCCGCAAGGGAUUAGUAGAGUGGCAAACGGGUGAGUAACACGUGGGUGACCUGCCCUCGAGCGGGGGAUAACGUCCCGAAAGGGACGCUAAUACCGCAUGACAUCCUGCCUUUGAACAGGCGGAGAUCAAAGCUGGGGAUCGCAAGACCUAGCACUCGAAGAGGGGCCCGCGCCUGAUUAGCUAGUUGGUGAGGUAAUGGCUCACCAAGGCUACGAUCAGUAUCCGGCCUGAGAGGGCGGACGGACACACUGGGACUGAGACACGGCCCAGACUCCUACGGGAGGCAGCAGUGGGGAAUUGUUCGCAAUGGGCGCAAGCCUGACGACGCAACGCCGCGUGGAGGAUGAAGACCUUCGGGUCGUAAACUCCUUUCGAUCGAGACGAAUGGCCUCCGGGUGAACAAUCCGGAGGAGUGACGGUACCGAGAGAAGAAGCCCCGGCUAACUCCGUGCCAGCAGCCGCGGUAAUACGGGGGGGGCAAGCGUUGUUCGGAAUUACUGGGCGUAAAGGGCUCGUAGGCGGCCAACUAAGUCAGACGUGAAAUCCCUCGGCUUAACCGGGGAACUGCAUCUGAUACUGGAUGGCUUGAGUUCGGGAGAGGGAUGCGGAAUUCCAGGUGUAGCGGUGAAAUGCGUAGAUAUCUGGAGGAACACCGGUGGCGAAGGCGGCAUCCUGGACCGACACUGACGCUGAGGAGCGAAAGCCAGGGGAGCAAACGGGAUUAGAUACCCCGGUAGUCCUGGCCCUAAACGAUGAAUGCUUGGUGUGGCGGGUAUCGAUCCCUGCC